GUGAAUCAUCGAAUCUUUGAACGCAAAUUGCACUCUCUUCGGAGAGUAUGCCUGUUUGAGGGUCAGUAUUAAUAAAAAUCGGUGUGUUGUUUCUUUGUGACGCUCCGGAGUUUGGGUCAUCUUAAUAUCCUUUAGGUUUUAAGAGGCGUAAAAUUGACUUUUUUUGCGCAUUUUAGAGCAAAAUAAAUUUUUUUUUUUAUUCGUCUGUCUUAAUGCUCAAACUGCUAUCAGGUGCGACCAUAGCGUGUGGUUC
rnacentral:misc_RNA from 1 species